GACACUUUGGCCGAGUGGUUAAGGCGACAGACUUGAAUCGGUUCUGAUUUAGCCAUCUGUUUCAUUCGUGAGCGCAGGUUCGAACCCUGCAGGUGUCG